GAAACAAGCAGCAGGGCUGGAAAGCCAGACUGUUACUAAGUCUGGCAUCACAGUAACCCCGUGCUCCUUUCCAACUCUGGUGUGCAAAUUUGCUCAUUAAGACUGACCAAAGCAGGAUCCUCUUAAUGGAACCCUCUCUGAUACCUUGAGCUGAAACAUGCAAAAGGAUCCAAGCAAUGACCUUGAGGCCUAGCCACUAGCUUCUCCAGCUCCCUUUGUGCCCUCUGAGCCUCUAAUGUUGGAAGUAGAUUUCUGGCCACAACAUGAAACACGGGAUACUGGGAGGAGCAGCAAUGCUGAUUGAAAAGUAAGGAGCAGAAAAUUUCCUGGACCAAGAAUUCAAGAAGGAAAGUAGGGAGGGCAGAGAGAAUAUGGGAGGAUGGAGAGGAGGAUGGAAGGAAGGAAAGAUAAAACAGAUUAACCUAGAAGUUCCAUCCAUCUCAAAGAUGAAUUACAUUAAACAUGGAGCUGAAGGAGCUCUGAGGAAUGGCCCCCGACCUACACUGGCCAGUGGGGUGGGGUGUGGGGAGGCACUUGUAUCAGCUGAGGAGCACAGUGCUGAGCUGCGUGGAACAGGACACCUGGAGACCCUCUGUUUCAGACACCAGGCUACGUGAGCACCCAGGGCCACUUCUGGGGUGGGAGGUGAUGGUGCCAAGCUACCAACAGGUGGUGUGAGUCUUUGAAAUCCUCCUUGCUCCCUUUAUACAAAACACCUUCUUGUCUUCCCUUCCCACCUGGGCAACCCCAGAUGGAAGACGCAAGUGCAUGGAAGCCAGCUAAGCGUGAACGUGUGUGUGUGGAAAGGAGGCAGAAACUAGUAUCUUUCCUGGGUGUGGACUCAUCAGUGUUGAUUCUGGGGAGGCUAGAUGUUCAAGGAUCAAAACUCUUAUCGUGUGUGACAAAAAGUUUAUCUUCUACCAUGUUCUUCACAUGCUUCCGAGAAUCCCUAAGGACUGCUUGCCUGCCCUGCACAUCCACACUGGCCGCCCUAUGUGCCCAGGAACAGCAUGGAGCCGGGCUGUGGCUCAGCUCUCAGGCAGUCACCUCUCGCUGGGGAGUGACCACCCUCCCAGGCUGCUGCCAGGCUUCUCGUUCUGCUUUCCUUCAGCCACCGACACAUAUCCAUCCCUGAAUCCCCCAGGGCACCACAGAGAUCAGAAGGCUUGGGAUAACAGAAAAGAAUAAGAAUAUAAAAAAUAAUAUUUUCCCAAAAAAGAACUGGCUCCCAAAAAGCUCCUUCAGGUUUUGUGGGUUCUGCAUUGCUUAGUAUUAAAAUUUUUUGCUUUCCUUGGCUCCUAAUACUGUCUGUGGGAUUAUGGGGGACAGAUCCAGAUCCCUUUAUCUAAAGAGAAGGCUUGGGACCUCUGCAGAUUGCUGUCAACCUGACCACAUUCUGAUUUGGAUCUGCCAACAUCGAGGAUGGAGAGAAUCAGGAAGUACAGAGAAGCUGAGAAGCAAGGAGAUGAGAAAGAUCUGGUAUGAAACAUCAGCACUGUGCUCUAUGACUCAGAACCGUCUCCUAAUAGUAACAUUCUAUCUUUAUUUUAUGUAUAUAGCAACUUUUCUCCAUAAUAAAUUAUCUUCUUAUAAGAAAAACUGAAGGACUCGAGUGGAAAAUUUAACCAAGCUGCAAUUUUUGUAACAUGAGGUCAUACAGGAGGUUCUUUUACAGAAAGAUACUAGGCCUGCCUUAUUCCUAAAGGAAAAAUAACAUGGUGAAACUGCCUUGUUUAUUGAGAAUGCUAAGAUAAUAAAUUGAUGUUAUGAGUCCCAUU